CAGGCCUAACACAUGCAAGUCGAACGGUAACAGGAAGCAGCUUGCUGCUUUGCUGACGAGUGGCGGACGGGUGAGUAAUGUCUGGGAAACUGCCUGAUGGAGGGGGAUAACUACUGGAAACGGUAGCUAAUACCGCAUAACGUCGCAAGACCAAAGAGGGGGACCUUCGGGCCUCUUGCCAUCGGAUGUGCCCAGAUGGGAUUAGCUAGUAGGUGGGGUAACGGCUCACCUAGGCGACGAUCCCUAGCUGGUCUGAGAGGAUGACCAGCCACACUGGAACUGAGACACGGUCCAGACUCCUACGGGAGGCAGCAGUGGGGAAUAUUGGACAAUGGGCGAAAGCCUGAUCCAGCAAUGCCGCGUGAGUGAUGAAGGCCUUAGGGUUGUAAAGCUCUUUUACCCGGGAUGAUAAUGACAGUACCGGGAGAAUAAGCUCCGGCUAACUCCGUGCCAGCAGCCGCGGUAA
rnacentral:rRNA from 1 species